rnacentral:ncRNA from 1 species
CCCAAUACCACAAAGUUUUGGUCCUGAACUUGAAAUUGUCUCUAGCCAGCACUAUACAUGCAAGCCUCCGCGCACCCGUGAAAAUGCCCAAUACUACCAUCACAUAUUAAUGGAGCCGGUAUCAGGCACGCCCUUGCUGCCAAAAACACCUUGCUUCGCCACCCCCCCACGGGCAGACAGCAGUAACUAACAUUAAGUAAUAAACGAAAGUUUGACUUAGGCAUGGCUCACCGGGCCGGUAAAUUUCGUGCCAGCCACCGCGGUCAUACGAAAAGCCCUAGACAAUUUUACAACGGCGUAAAGCAUGAUCAGAAAAUUAUAAUCGAAAGCGAACUGUUUCUCAGUUGUAAAACACCCCAGAAAACAAGAAGACCCACACUCUCACCAACCUUUUACCUCAUGAAAGCAAGGACACAAACUGGGAUUAGAUACCCCACUAUGCCUAGCCGUUAACCACGAUAGUUCAUAUACCCACUAUCCGCCAGAGAAUUACGAGCAAAAAUUGCUUAAAACCCAAAGGAUUUGGCGGUGUCCCAUAUCUCCCUAGAGGAGCCUGUCCUAUAAUCGACACUCCACGUUUCACCUCACCAUCUUAGGCCACUCCAGCUUAUAUACCGCCGUCGUCAGCUUACCCUUUGAGGGACCCAUAGUAGGCAAAAACGUCCACACAAAAACGUCAGGUCAAGGUGUAGCUAACAAGAUGGAAGCGAUGGGCUACAUUUUCUACGAUAGAAAAUACGGACAUUGCAAUGAAACAUUGCACUAGAAGGCGGAUUUAGCAGUAAAAUGAGAAAGAAUGCCCAUUUUAAGCUUGCCACUGGGACGCGCACAUACCGCCCGUCACCCUCUUCAACAAACCCUCCUCCCCAACCUAUAACCCCAACCCCGUACAAGAAGAGACAAG